UUGUCCUGGCUAACGCCGCCAUGCUAACAUGUCAUAACUGCUAAUGUUAGCUAACGUUGCCGGAGGACCAGGCAAGCGGACCAUGGCUGUUUACAACGUGUAGCCUGUUCAGCGGCUGUAGCAGACAAUGGUGAGUUAUUUUAAGCCACGGGAGGGGGGCUG